rnacentral:rRNA from 1 species
GACGAACGCUGGCGGCGUGCUUAACACAUGCAAGUCGAACGGAAAGGCCCUGCUUUUGUGGGGUGCUCGAGUGGCGAACGGGUGAGUAACACGUGAGUAACCUGCCCUUGACUUUGGGAUAACUUCAGGAAACUGGGGCUAAUACCGGAUAGGAGCUCCUGCUGCAUGGUGGGGGUUGGAAAGUUUCGGCGGUUGGGGAUGGACUCGCGGCUUAUCAGCUUGUUGGUGGGGUAGUGGCUUACCAAGGCUUUGACGGGUAGCCGGCCUGAGAGGGUGGCCGGCCACAAUGGGACUGAGAUACGGCCCAGACGCCUACGGGAGGCAGCAGUGGGGAGUAUUGCACAAUGGGCGGAAGCCUGAUGCAGCAACGCCGCGUGCGGGAUGACGGCCUUCGGGUUGUAAACCGCUUUCGCCUGUGACGAAGCGUGAGUGACGGUAAUGGGUAAAGAAGCACCGGCUAACUACGUG